rnacentral:lncRNA from 1 species
UGUUUGUUGAACCAACCUCUGUGGGCUUAAUCUAGUUUAAAAAGAGAGGGUUUACAAUAAGAGCAUUGAUUAGUCCAAGAGUUCAUAAAUAAUAUCCAUACUUGUAGGGUGCUACACUACUCAAGAACCUAAAAAAAGUUGGUUUCUUCCACAAGCUCCUAAAACAAAAUAAGUAUUAUUUUAGCUGUCGAUAAUAUAACACUUACAGAUUAUGUUAAUGUUCUCCAACUUGAAGUUAGCGUGGGAUUUAAAAAAAAAUCAUGUAAUCUUAGACCAUGAUGUUAAUUUAGAAAUAAAAUAAAUCAUUCUUUUUUGAAUAGAUCUGGUGUGCUCUGGCGUAUCUAUUUACCAGCCAAGGAACAGACAAAUGCAUCAUAUUUUAUGACUAGAAAACAAUAUAUCGUUGUAAAGUGUUCUUUUUCAACAACC